rnacentral:misc_RNA from 1 species
UGGUGAACCAGCGGAGGGAUCAUUGCUGGAACCGUGUCCGCAAGGACACAACCCCAGAUACCCUUUGUGAACUUAUUCUUAUAUCGUUGCCUCGGCGUUGAGCUGGGGGCUUCUUUCCAAGGAGCUCUCCCAUGGUCUCUCGGGACGAUGGAGCAAGCCCGCCGGCGGCCCUUCUAAACUCUUGUUUUUAUCACGUAUCUCUUCUGAGUUAUUCAAAACAAAAUGAAUCAAAACUUUCAACAACGGAUCUCUUGGUUCUGG